GACGAACGCUGGCGGCGUGCUUAACACAUGCAAGUCGAACGGAAACUCCUCUUUCGGUGGGUACUCGGUUGGUGAACGGGUGAGUAACACCCUAGUAAUCUGCCCUUGACUUUGGGAUAACUUCUGGUAACUGGUGCUAAUACCGGAUAAGAGCUCCUUCUGCUUUGGGUGGGUUGGCAAUUUUCGGCGGUUGGGGAUGGACUCGCGGCUUAUCAGCUUGUUGGUGUGGUAGUGGCUUACCAAGGCUUUGACGGGUAGCCGGCCUGAGAGGGUGACCGGCAACAGUGAGACUGAGAUACGGACAAGACUCCGACGGGAAGGAGCAGUAGCGGUGAGUGAAAAAGGGGAGUAAGCCUGAGGCAGCAACGGCGUGGGCGGGAUGACGGCGAUCGGGUUGUAGUCCGCAAUCGCUCAUGACGAAGAUGUGUGUGACGGUAGUGGGUAAAGAAGCACCGGCUAACUACGUG
rnacentral:rRNA from 1 species